rnacentral:misc_RNA from 1 species
GAUGAAGAACGUAGCGAAAUGCGAUAAGUAAUGUGAAUUGCAGAAUUCAGUGAAUCAUCGAAUCUUUGAACGCACCUUGCGCCCUUUGGCUAUUCCGAAGGGCAUGCCUGUUUGAGUAUCAUGAAAACCUCAACUCUCAUGGCUUGCCAUGAUGAGCUUGGACUCUGGGGGUCUUGCUGGCUUUACGGUCAGCUCCUCUCAAAUAAAUCAGCUUGCCGGUGUUUGGUGGGAUCACAGGUGUGAUAACUAUCUACGCUUGUGGUAUUCCGCCAGGUAACCUUCAGCAAUGGAGGUUCGCUGGAGCUCAUAAAUGUCUCUCCUCAGCGAGGACAGAUUUUGACCGUUUGAUCUCAAAUCAGGUAGGACUACCCGCUGAACUUAAGCAUAUCAAUAAGCGGAGGA